rnacentral:rRNA from 1 species
UACGUAGGGCGCAAGCGUUUGUCCCGGGAAUUAUUGGGCGUAAAGAGCUCGUAGGCGGUCUGUUACGUCCGCUGUGAAAACCCGGGGCUUAACCCUGGGCUUGCAGUGGAUACGGGCAGACUAGAGGCAGGUAGGGGAGAAUGGAAUUCCCGGUGUAGCGGUGAAAUGCGCAGAUAUCGGGAGGAACACCGGUGGCGAAGGCGGUUCUCUGGGCCUGACCUGACGCUGAGGAGCGAAAGCGUGGGGAGCGAACAGG